AUUGAACGCUGGCGGAAUGCUUUACACAUGCAAGUCGAACGGCAGCACGGGGGCAACCCUGGUGGCGAGUGGCGAACGGGUGAGUAAUACAUCGGAACGUGCCCAGUCGUGGGGGAUAACGUAGCGAAAGUUACGCUAAUACCGCAUACGAUCUACGGAUGAAAGCGGGGGACCGUAAGGCCUCGCGCGAUUGGAGCGGCCGAUGUCAGAUUAGGUAGUUGGUGAGGUAAAGGCUCACCAAGCCGACGAUCUGUAGCUGGUCUGAGAGGACGAGCGGCCACACUGGGACUGCGACACGGCCCAGACUCCUACGGGAGGCAGCAGUGGGGAAUUUUGGACAAUGGGCGCAAGCCUGAUCCAGCCAUUCCGCGUGCAGGACGAAGGCCUUCGGGUUGUAAACUGCUUUUGUACGGAACGAAAAGGCUCUGGUUAAUACCUGGGGCUCAUGACGGUACCGUAAGAAUAAGCACCGGCUAACUACGUGCCAGCCGCCGCCGUAA
rnacentral:rRNA from 1 species